rnacentral:rRNA from 1 species
UACGUAGGGUGCGAGCGUUAAUCGGAAUUACUGGGCGUAAAGCGUGCGCAGGCGGCGCGUUAAGACAGGUGUGAAAGCCCCGAGCUUAACUUGGGAAUUGCGCUUGUGACUGGCGUGCUGGAGUGUGGCAGAGGGAGGUGGAAUUCCACGUGUAGCAGUGAAAUGCGUAAAGAUGUGGAGGAACACCGAUGGCGAAGGCAGCCUCCUGGGCCAACACUGACGCUCAUGCACGAAAGCGUGGGGAGCAAACAGG